rnacentral:rRNA from 1 species
AUUGAACGCUGGCGGCAGGCUUAACACAUGCAAGUCGAGCGGAGCGAGGGUGCUUGCACCUUAGCUUAGCGGCGGACGGGUGAGUAAUGCUUAGGAAUCUGCCUAUUAGUGGGGGACAACAUUCCGAAAGGAAUGCUAAUACCGCAUACGCCCUACGGGGGAAAGCAGGGGAUCUUCGGACCUUGCGCUAAUAGAUGAGCCUAAGUCGGAUUAGCUAGUUGGUGGGGUAAAGGCCUACCAAGGCGACGAUCUGUAGCAGGUCUGAGAGGAUGAUCCGCCACACUGGGACUGAGACACGGCCCAGACUCCUACGGGAGGCAGCAGUGGGGAAUAUUGGACAAUGGGCGGAAGCCUGAUCCAGCCAUGCCGCGUGUGUGAAGAAGGCCUUUUGGUUGUAAAGCACUUUAAGCGAGGAGGAGGAGCUCUAGGUUAAUACCCUAGAUGCUUGGACGUUACUCGCAGAAUAAGCACCGGCUAACUCUGUGCCAGCAGCCGCUGUAAAAC